rnacentral:rRNA from 1 species
AGUGAACGCUGGCGGUAGGCCUAACACAUGCAAGUCGAACGGCAGCACAGUAAGAGCUUGCUCUUACGGGUGGCGAGUGGCGGACGGGUGAGGAAUACAUCGGAAUCUACUUUUUCGUGGGGGAUAACGUAGGGAACCUUACGCUAAUACCGCAUACGACCUACGGGUGAAAGCAGGGGAUCUUCGGACCUUGCGCGAUUGAAUGAGCCGAUGUCGGAUUAGCUAGUUGGCGGGGUAAAGGCCCACCAAGGCGGCGAUCCGUAGCUGGUCUGAGAGGAUGAUCAGCCACACUGGAACUGAGACACGGUCCAGACUCCUACGGGAGGCAGCAGUGGGGAAUAUUGGACAAUGGGCGCAAGCCUGAUCCAGCCAUACCGCGUGGGUGAAGAAGGCCUUCGGGUUGUAAAGCCCUUUUGUUGGGAAAGAAAAGCAGCAGGUUAAUACCCCGCUGUUCUGACGGUACCCAAAGAAUAAGCACCGGCUAACUUCGUG